rnacentral:tRNA from 1 species
GGCCUCGUAACUCAGCUGGUAGAGCGGCGCGUACAAAGCGUAGGCGGCGUCCAUGCGUGGGUUCGAAUCCCAUUGAGGCUA